UGGGAACUGUAGUUUUUGCUCCCCCACCCCGGAGCUGAGCCGCUGUCCUCUUUCCUCUGACAGAUGAAAAUUGGAAGAAGAAGAAGGAGAAGGAGAAGAAGAAGAAGGAGAAGGAGAAGAAGAGAGAGAGAAAGGAAAGGGGGAAAAACACUCAAACAUAGAUAUGUAACUUGUCAGAUGUCACCCUGCUUGUAAUUAUAGAUGCUGGGAUUUGAACUUA